AUACGUAGGGGGCGAGCGUUGUCCGGAAUGAUUGGGCGUAAAGGGCGCGUAGGCGGCCCGGUAAGUCUGGAGUGAAAGUCCUGUUUUUAAGAUGGGAAUUGCUUUGGAUACUGUCGGACUUGAGUGCUGGAGAGGAUAGUGGAAUUCCUAGUGUAGCGGUAAAAUGCGCAGAUAUUAGGAGGAACACCGGUGGCGAAGGCGGCUAUCUGGACAGUAACUGACGCUGAGGCGCGAAAGCACGGGGAGCAAACAGGAUUAGAUACCCUGGUAGUCCACACUGUAAACGAUGAAUGCUAGGUGUAAGAGGUAUCGACCCCUUUUGUGCCGGAGUCAACACAAUAAGCAUUCCGCCUGGGGAGUACGGCCGCAAGGUUGAAACUCAAAUGAAUUGGCGGGG
rnacentral:rRNA from 1 species